rnacentral:rRNA from 1 species
AUUGGAGGGCAAGUCUGGUGCCAGCAGCCGCGGUAAUUCCAGCUCCAAUAGCGUAUAUUAAAGUUGUUGCAGUUAAAAAGCUCGUAGUUGGAUUUCUGUUGUAUAAUUUUAUAAUAUUACCAAGGUAAUUAUUAUAUUAUCAACAUCCUUCCUAUUAUAUUCUAAAUAUAUAGGAAAUUUUACUUUGAGAAAAUUAGAGUGCUUAAAGCAGGCAACUGCCUUGAAUACUCCAGCAUGGAAUAAUAAGUAAGGACUUUUGUCUUUCUUAUUGGUUCUAGGACAAAAGUAAUGGUUAAUAGGGACAGUUGGGGGCAUUCGUA